GGGGAAUUUUCCGCAAUGGGCGAAAGCCUGACGGAGCAAGACCGCGUGAGGGAGGAAGGCCCUUGGGUUGUAAACCUCUUUUCUCAGGGAAGAAGAAAGUGACGGUACCUGAGGAAUCAGCCUCGGCUAACUCCGUGCCAGCAGCCGCGGUAAGACGGAGGAGGCAAGCGUUAUCCGGAAUUAUUGGGCGUAAAGCGUCCGUAGGUGGCUGCUCAAGUCUGCCGUCAAAGCACAGGGCUUAACUCUGUCAAGGCGGUGGAAACUGAGGAGCUAGAGAGAGGUAGGGGUAGAGGGAAUUCCCAGUGUAGCGGUGAAAUGCGUAGAGAUUGGGAAGAACACCGGUGGCGAAAGCGCUCUACUGGACCUCAUCUGACACUGAGGGACGAAAGCUAGGGGAGCGAAUGGGAUUAGAUACCCCAGUAGUC
rnacentral:rRNA from 1 species